rnacentral:misc_RNA from 1 species
GUGCCCAUUAUUCUAUAGACUAAACAGCAGAGUACUUGUGUAUACUUUCCUGCAUGUCUCAAUUAUUAAGUAUUCAAUUUGUCUUUUAAUAUUUUCGUUUUCUGGAGCUCUACUGUUGGCUGUAGAGACAAGUAGAGCGGGUCCAUUUUGGUGCCCUAAGUGUAAUUACUACUUUGAGGACUGAAACGUGCAUUUUUCUGGAAACAA